ensembl:lncRNA
UGAGUUAGAUUAGAGGUGGAGAGCAGGGUUUGGAUGCUAGGUUAUGAUGGAAGAAUUGGCAAGCAUUUGUGACAGAUUUGAAGUAGGAGCGGGGAACGGGAGGAAGCAAGGAUGGCUGGAAUAUUCAACUGCUUGGGUGUGGGCCCAAAAAAGGCAGAGAAGUUGGUUCACUGACUGCUGAGGUUUUUCUAGGUGACUUGUGAUGAUUUCCACAGGCUGUCUCAUUCACCUGUACGUCCUAACACCUCAGCCGAGAAUGCUGCCCUGCCCUGCGCCAUUGCCCAGGUGUAUAGUAGAAUGCUGAGACCCAUCAAAUUACCCACCCCAGGGUAUCAACCAGACUCCCAGGUGGUGUUUGGAAAACCUCCUCCACAGCCAAUGGACUGGCGAGCAUCCUUUGUCAACUGAUGCUGUGUUCACAUUUCAGGUCCAGGGGUGGGUGGAUCCCCCGCAGUGGAUGGCUGCUUGGUUAAUGAGUCCCCUGUGAGCAAAUGUCCUUAAAGUCAGCUAGAUUAAAAUAACACCCUACUCUCCAUACACUACUGCCCAGAGUACAAGAAAAAUAGAUUUAAUACGUAUAUCCAAUUUAUUUCUGCCAAUGAGCCAUCCUUAGGAAAAGAAUGCACAGCCUGAAAAUAUGUGUUCUCAGACUGAAGCGACUUAGCAGCAGCAGUAGCAGUAGCAGCAGUGCUGGGAUUUCCCUUCCUGGGUCCCUUUAUCCUCACAGGGAGUUGAAGGGCAGCAGAGAGCCCUCCUCCAACUUCCUCUUCAGUUUCUCACCCAUCAUUCUCUUAGUCUCUUUCUUCCUCCCAUCUUUGCUGGAAACAUGGAAGAAAUAUAUCCACUGCAUGUAAUACACAAAUCUCUUCUUGCCAGGUUAUGUGUCUGUUGCCCAACUAAAGGAAAAUAACUUGAAGGCAAACACUAUAUUUUUCAUCCCUACCUUCAGUUUGCAAUAGUAUUCAAGAAUAAAUUAUGCUGAAUAAAUAAACCAGA